rnacentral:rRNA from 1 species
AUUGAACGCUGGCGGCAUGCCUUACACAUGCAAGUCGAACGGCAGCACGGGAGCAAUCCUGGUGGCGAGUGGCGAACGGGUGAGUAAAGUAUCGGAACGUGCCCAGUCGUGGGGGAUAACGUAGCGAAAGUUACGCUAAUACCGCAUAAGACCUAUGGAUGAAAGAGGGGGAUCGCAAGACCUCGCGCGAUUGAAGCGGCCGAUAGCAGAUUAGGUAGUUGGUGGGGUAAAGGCUCACCAAGCCGACGAUCUGUAGCGGGUCUGAGAGGACGACCAGCCACACUGGGACUGAGACACGGCCCAGACUCCUACGGGAGGCAGCAGUGGGGAAUUUUGGACAAUGGGCGAAAGCCUGAUCCAGCCAUGCCGCGUGCAGGAUGAAGGCCUUCGGGUUGUAAACUGCUUUUGUACGGAACGAAAAGGUUUGGCCUAAUAAGCUGAGCUCAUGACGGUACCGUAAGAAUAAGCACCGGCUAACUACGUGCCAGCAGCCGCGGUAA